rnacentral:rRNA from 1 species
UCAUCUCCGGGGGUAGAGCACUGUUUCGGCAAGGGGGUCAUCCCGACUUACCAACCCGAUGCAAACUGCGAAUACCGGAGAAUGUUAUCACGGGAGACACACGGCGGGUGCUAACGUCCGUCGUGAAGAGGGAAACAACCCAGACCGCCAGCUAAGGUCCCAAAGUCAUGGUUAAGUGGGAAACGAUGUGGGAAGGCCCAGACAGCCAGGAUGUUGGCUUAGAAGCAGCCAUCAUUUAAAGAAAGCGUAAUAGCUCACUGGUCGAG